rnacentral:snRNA from 1 species
AGGACUGGGGCGACAACAACGAGGACGAAGAAGAGCAGCAGCAGCAGGAAGAGGAGGAUCAUCAGGGCUCUUGGAAGAAGAGCAGCAGCAUUCGGGGCGCCAGCGCCGUCACCCCUCCCACUGCUGGAGCAGGAGGGCUGUUGAGGCCCACAGCGACCGGCAUCUCGGCACAGAAGGGCAGAGGAAAAGGCAAGGGCAAGAGCCAAUUGAAGGGGAAAGCCA